rnacentral:rRNA from 1 species
GAUAUGGCUCAGGAUGAACGCUAGCGACAGGCUAACACAUGCAAGUCGAGGGGCAGCAUAAAAGUAGCAAUACUUGGUGGCGACCGGCGCACGGGUGAGUAACGCGUAUGCAACCUACCUAUCAGAGGGGAAUAACCCGGCGAAAGUCGGACUAAUACCGCAUAAAACAGGGGCACCGCAUGGUGAUAUUUGUUAAAGAAAUUCGCUGAUAGAUGGGCAUGCGUUCCAUUAGGUAGUUGGUGAGGUAACGGCUCACCAAGCCGACGAUGGAUAGGGGAACUGAGGGGUUGGUCCCCCCACACUGGUACUGAGACACGGACCAGACUCCUACGGGAGGCAGCAGUGAGGAAUAUUGGUCAAUGGGCGGGAGCCUGAACCAGCCAAGUCGCGUGAAGGAAGAAGGAUCUAUGGUUCGUAAACUUCUUUUGCAGGGGAAUAAAGUGCAGGACGUGUCCUGUUUUGUAUGUACCCUGAGAAUAAGGAUCGGCUAACUCCGUGCCAGCCGCCGC